rnacentral:rRNA from 1 species
UACGUAGGGAGCAAGCGUUGUCCGGAAUCAUUGGGCGUAAAGCGCGCGUAGGCGGCCCUGUAAGUCCGUUGUGAAAGUCAAAGGCUCAACCUUUGAAAGCCGAUGGAUACUGCAGGGCUAGAGUCCGGAAGAGGCGAGUGGAAUUCCUGGUGUAGCGGUGGAAUGCGCAGAUAUCGGGAGGAACACCAAUAGCGAAGGCAGCUCGCUGGGACGGUACUGACGCUAAGGCGCGAAAGCGUGGGGAGCGAACAGG